GCUGGGCAUGGUGGCGUGUGUCUGUAAUCCCAGCUACUCGGAAGGCUGAGGCAGGAGAAUUGCUUGAACCCGGGAGGUGGAGGUUGCCAUGAGCCGAGAUCAGGCCAUUGCACUCCAGCCUGGGCGACAAUAGCAAGACUCCGUCUCAAAAAAAAAAAAAAAAAAAAUACGAGACAGAGUGUUGCUCUGUUGCCCAGGCUGGAGUGCAGUGGCAUGAACAGAAGGCUCACUGCAGCCUCAACUUCCUGGGCUCAAGCAAUCCUCCUGCCUCAU
rnacentral:sRNA from 1 species